CUACGGGCCGCAGCAGUUAAGGAAAUUUUACAAUGCCCGCAAGGGUGAUCGAGUGAUCCAGAGUGUUUUCUUUUAGAAAACUUUUGUCUGUUGCAAAAAGACAGAUGAAUAAGGACUGGGCAAGACCGGUGCCAGCCGCCGCGGUAAUCCCGGCGGUCCAAGUCGCAUACACAUUUAUUGGGUCUAAAACAUCCGUAGCUUGUUUUGUAAGUCUCUUGUGAAAUCUGAGAUCUCAAAUCUCAGGCGUGCAAGAGAUACUGCAAUGCUAGAGACCGGAAGGCGCAAAGAGUAUGAUUGAGGUAGCGGUAAAAUGUGUUAAUCUUGAUCAGACUAACAAUGGCGAAGGCACUUUGCGAGUACGGAUCUGACAGUGAGGGAUGAAGGCUAGGGGCGCAAAAGGGAUUAGAUACCCGGGUAGUC
rnacentral:rRNA from 1 species